rnacentral:rRNA from 1 species
UACGGGGGGAGCAAGCGUUGUUCGGAAUUACUGGGCGUAAAGGGCGCGUAGGCGGCCAGGUAAGUGAGAUGUGAAAUCCUCCGGCUCACCCGGAGAAAUGCAUCUCAUACUGCUUGGCUAGAGUGCGGAAGAGGAAUCGGGAAUUCCAGGUGUAGCGGUGAAAUGCGUAGAUAUCUGGAGGAACACCGGUGGCGAAGGCGCGAUUCUGGUCCGUUACUGACGCUGAGGCGCGAAAGCCAGGGGAGCAAACGGG